rnacentral:rRNA from 1 species
AACGAACGCUGGCGGCAUGCCUAACACAUGCAAGUCGAACGAGGCCUUCGGGUCUAGUGGCGCACGGGUGCGUAACGCGUGGGAACCUGCCUUUAGGUUCGGAAUAACUCAGAGAAAUUUGAGCUAAUGCCGGAUGAUGUCUUCGGACCAAAGAUUUAUCGCCUUUAGAUGGGCCCGCGUUGGAUUAGCUAGUUGGUGGGGUAAAGGCCUACCAAGGCGACGAUCCAUAGCUGGUCUGAGAGGAUGAUCAGCCACACUGGGACUGAGACACGGCCCAGACUCCUACGGGAGGCAGCAGUGGGGAAUAUUGGACAAUGGGCGAAAGCCUGAUCCAGCAAUGCCGCGUGAGUGAUGAAGGCCUUAGGGUUGUAAAGCUCUUUUACCCGAGAUGAUAAUGACAGUAUCGGGAGAAUAAGCUCCGGCUAACUCCGUG